CUACCGCCAUUUAAGUGGGCCAGGUUCCUUCCUUCACAGGAGCCUGGUGGCAAGGGCUGCAUAUAGUGGCCUCCUUGGAAGUAUUUGUAGCCUGUUACUCUGCGGGUUGCCCUGAGGGACCCUGGAGACAGUU